rnacentral:rRNA from 1 species
AUUGAACGCUGGCGGCAUGCCUUACACAUGCAAGUCGAACGGCAGCACGGGAGCAAUCCUGGUGGCGAGUGGCGAACGGGUGAGUAAUAUAUCGGAGCGUGCCCAGUCGUGGGGAUAACGUAGCGAAAGCUACGCUAAUACCGCAUACGAUCUAUGGAUGAAAGCGGGGAUCGCAAGACCUCGCGCGAUUGGAGCGGGCCGAUAUCAGAUUAGGUAGUUGGUGAGGUAAAGGCUCACCAAGCCGACCGAUCUGUAGCUGGUCUGAGAGGACGACCAGCCACACUGGGACUGAGACACGGCCCA